rnacentral:tRNA from 1 species
GGUGGCUCAGUGGUAGAGCGCUUGCCUAGCAUGCACGAGCCCUAGGUUCAAUUCCUUAGCACCA